AAUUUUUGGGAUAAAGGCUUAGUGAAUUAAGUUGAGUUGUAUAGUGGCUUCUAUCUAAUUGUCUUUACCUCUUAGAUGCCUUGCUAAAUAUUCUUGCUUAGAUCUAUAUGAAUAGACCUGGCUAACGGCCGGUUCCGGGCCUAAACUGGCAGUUCCGGUUCAAGGGGAUCAGAACCGGACCUUCAAGGUUUGCCUGAUUCUAUUUCGGUUUUGGUUUUUAUGAAAACAAACAGUUGAAUUCUUUUCAAAAUUUUUAAUUUUUUUAAAAUGAAAAAAAAAAAAUCCAGUUUGGUCUGAAAUCGAACCAGCUGGUUUCGGUCUAGUUUAAUGGCGGUUUUGGUCAAUCCGGUUUUGAACAGUUUUGGUCCGGUUCAGAUUCCGAACCGGCCUGUGGCCAGGUCUAUAUAUGAAUGAUUUCCCUUUCUUUAGAUCAAAAGCAUUAUGGAGGUAAAGUGACACAACUUGAUACCAAUGAAACUAUUAAUGGUCAUGGCACUUGCUAAUUUGUGUCUUUCACUGC
rnacentral:misc_RNA from 1 species